AACGAACGCUGGCGGCAUGCCUAACACAUGCAAGUCGAACGAACCCUUCGGGGUUAGUGGCGCACGGGUGCGUAACGCGUGGGAACCUGCCUUUAGGUUCGGAAUAACUCAGAGAAAUUUGAGCUAAUACCGGAUAAUGUCUUCGGACCAAAGAUUUAUCGCCUUUAGAUGGGCCCGCGUUAGAUUAGAUAGUUGGUGGGGUAAUGGCCUACCAAGUCGACGAUCUAUAGCUGGUCUGAGAGGAUGAUCAGCCACACUGGGACUGAGACACGGCCCAGACUCCUACGGGAGGCAGCAGUGGGGAAUAUUGGACAAUGGGCGAAAGCCUGAUCCAGCAAUGCCGCGUGAGUGAUGAAGGCCUUAGGGUUGUAAAGCUCUUUUACCAGGGAUGAUAAUGACAGUACCUGGAGAAUAAGCUCCGGCUAACUCCGUGCCAGCAGCCGCGGUAAUACGGAGGGAGCUAGCGUUGUUCGGAAUUACUGGGCGUAAAGCGCGCGUA
rnacentral:rRNA from 1 species